GGAAGUAAAAGUCGUAACCAAGGUUUCCGUAGGUGAACCUGCGGAAGGAUCAUUAUUGGAUUUUGAAACUUCAGGCUGCUGCUGGCUCUCCUCGGAGGGCAUGUGCACGCUUGUUGUCCAUUAUUUCUCCCACUGUGCACAAAUUGUAGACCUUUCAGUAGGCCUAUGUUGUUUUUCACAAUCUCUGAAUGUAAUAGAAUGGUUUUGAAUCUUGGGAAAUAAAAUACAACUUUCAGCAACGGAUCUCUUGGCUCUC
rnacentral:misc_RNA from 1 species